CUGGUAGUUCAGUUGGUUAGAAUGCCUGCCUGUCACGCAGGAGGUCGCGGGUUCGAGUCCCGUCCAGACCGCCA
rnacentral:tRNA from 1 species